rnacentral:tRNA from 1 species
GGUAGUAUGGCCGACAGAGGCGAUAAACUGUAAAUUUAUUUAUAGGGAAUGAACCCUUGCUGCCA